GCUCGCUUAGCUCAGCGGCAGAGCGCGUCACUAGUACGCACAGCGUGAUGACGAGGUCACUAGUUCAAUUCUGGUAGCGAGCA